rnacentral:rRNA from 1 species
AACGUAGGAGACAAACGUUAUCCGGAGUUACUGGGCGUAAAGGGCGCGUAGGCGGUUAGUUAAGUCUGGCGUGAAAGCUCUCGGCUAAACCGGGAGAGGUCGUUGGAUACUGGCUGACUAGAGUACGGUAGAGGCGUGUGGAAUUCCGGGUGUAGUGGUGAAAUGCGUAGAGAUCCGGAGGAACACCAGUGGCGAAGGCGACACGCUGGGCCGUACCUGACGCUAAAGCGCGACAGCAUGGGGAGCAAACGGG